rnacentral:lncRNA from 1 species
AUGGAAAAGGACAUUGUAAGUCACGAGGAGGCUCUGGUGAGCCAAGCAAACAACACAGACCCGGGCACCGCAGCAGCAGAGGCAGGACCCCUGCCCGAGGCUGAGAAUCCACCUGAAGGUGCCCCAGCGGCUGCAAGUAGUGGGGUCGAUGUGGGGCAGGAAAGCACCGGGCUGGGAGAGAAUGAGGAGAUGCAGGAUAUGUCUGUUGUUAGUAUGCUUCCCAGCGUGAAGGCUGAUGGUGGCCCGUGCCCAGAGGGGGUUCUGGUUCCAGGCGAUGUGACCCCACAGGGGGCUAACCCCGAGGGAAAUGCAGGGAAGCCAGGCAGCGGGAAAAGGAGGAAUAGAAAGCGGAGCACGAUCGUCUAUCUGCCCUGGCCUCUGACACUGCAGACUCGAGCGUCUUCUGCAGCCCCCGUGCUGGGCCAGACUCGCAUCCUGGGGUCUCUGUCGCUGGCUGAUACUGAAGAGGAGGUAGUGUAUGAAACCAGUGAGCCAGGGGGGGACAAGGAGGCAGAGAACACAGCCGUUCUCUCUCAGCCUCAGGAGGCACCUGCUGAUGCCCUGUGGCCAGCAGCAAGUCCCGUUGAGCCCCCUCUUGAGGAUGCAUCCCUGGCAGCCAAUGAGGAGAUAAACAAAGGGCGGAAAAAUAGACGGAAGGGGAGAAAUAAAAAGAAUAGAAGGAUCAUGGCUAGUCCUUGGCCUCUGACGGUCCAGGCCUGGGCAUCGGUCACAGGCUCAGAUCAGGCAGAGACAGCUUCGGCACGGGAUUCAUCACUUGAUAAUGAUGGGGCCAGUGUGGAGGAGCAUAAAAGCCAGGGUCCAGAGGGUGAGGAGGAUAACCCAUCAGCCGAAGCUCUUUAUCAAAGUGCACAGGAGGAGGCCCCAGAAUCAUCUGCCCAUCUGGAGCAGGCCUCAGGAGAGGAAGGGGAGUCCCUCGCUGCGGACAGCGAGGGAGAUGGAGAGCAGAGCGGACACAAAAGGAGUACUAGCAAGGAGAAAAGUGUCUUAGCUCACCCUUGGCCUCUGACAGUACAAGCCUGGGCAUCAUUCAGAGCAGCAGAUUCAGUUCAGGCUCAGCCUCAGGAAGAAUCUUCUGCUGCAAGUAUAGGGGUGGCUGUGGGGCAGAAAAAACAGCCUCAACUGGAGAACAGUAAGGAGGAAGCAAAGUCCGCUUCUCCUUGGCCUGUAAGGGCCCAGGCUAGUGCCCCCUCCUCAGAGUCAGCUCAGAGGCAGGUUUCAUUGAAGAGGGCUCCUUCACAAGACCCCCAGUCGAAGGUGAGCCAAACCAGGAGGGGGUGCCAGGGGAGAUGUAAGGAGCAAGUUCAGGGCGAUGCAGAGCAAACUGUGGAAUCUGGUCAGGAAUGGAGAAGCACCGAGAGAUAUCCAGAGGAUCAGGACUUUUGGGAAUGCACAGUGGUGAAUUUUGCUAGGCAAGUCGACUGUCGCUAUUGUGGGGAGCUCUGCUCACAAGAGCGGAUGGAGUCUUUGACUGUGACCAAAACCCACACCCACAUGGGUACUUGA